GCCUACGGGGCGCAGCAGUAGGGAAUUUUCGUCAAUGGGCGCAAGCCUGAACGAGCAAUGCCGCGUGAACGAGGAAGGUCCUCGGAUCGUAAAGUUCUGUUGAAGGGGAAAAAGAGCGGAGAGAGGAAAUGGUCUCCGAUUGAUAUUACCCUUCGAGGAAGUCACGGCUAACUACGUGCCAGCAGCCGCGGUAAUACGUAGGUGGCGAGCGUUAUCCGGAAUGAUUGGGCGUAAAGGGUGCGUAGGCGGCCUGCUAAGUCUGGGGUGAAAGGUACCGGCUCAACCGGUACAGGCUCUGGAAACUG
rnacentral:rRNA from 1 species